UGGUCAUGUGUUCUUGGUCCUGCUCAAAGU
rnacentral:piRNA from 1 species